GGUAAUUAAUUAGAAAAAAAAAUUAAUUAAAAGGUAAAAAGAGGGUUUUCUUGGCAUAAUCUAUUGGGGAAAAAUAAAAGGUAAAAUGUGUAGGAGGGGCCCCUAAAAAUUCUGCUGGAUUGAGGGAUAAGAAUGCCCAAGAACAUCCAAGAUCAAACCUGCUGGAUUGAGGGAUUAAUGUUCCAAGAGCAUCCAGGGUUAAGUCAAACCUGCUGGGUUGAGGGAUUAACAUUCCAAGAGCAGCCAGAAUUAAGUUUGCUGGGUUGUUGAGAGCACCCAAGAUUGAGUAAAAAUUUUGCCAGUUUGAAGAUAAGUCUGACAGGAUCUAGAGUUGGGAACCACACAGCUAGAUUGAGGGGUAUCCAAGAACACUGGGACUAGCCAGGGACACCUAAAAGUGUAAUAGGUGUGUUGAAAAAUAAAAGGUACCUUGUUGUUGUGGUUGUUUUGUUAUGUGUAAGAGUAAGUAAAAAUAAAGUUAAGUGAAUGUAGACGAAGGAAAGUAUAUGUAUGCAUCCUGCCCUGUUAAGCAGCCUCACUGUGCUUCCCUGCUGUGACUGACAAACACAAGUUACGAACCCUCAGAACUGAAAAAGUUCAAUCAAAUAUUGCUUCCAUUGAUGACCAUGAUAUUGUCUAUAAUACCUUGUUACAACUUAUGUUAUGUAAGUGUUAAUACCCCUAUCCUACCAGUUCGUAAACCUGAUGGGUCAUACCGGUUAGUACAGGAUCUGCGGGCCAUAAACAAGAUUUAAAAGAUGCCUUCUUUUGCCUUCCUAUCCACGAAGCCAGAAAAUUUUUGCAUUUGAAUGGGAAAAUCCUAAGAGCGGGCGAAGAACUCAACUGACAUGGACCAGACUCCCACAAGGAUUCAAAAACUCACCCACUUUGUUUGGAGAACAACUUGCAAAAGAAUUAGAGACCUGAGAAGCCCCUCCAGAGGAAGGGAAGUUGCUACAGUACGUAGAUGACAUCCUGAUAGCCACACGGACAAGGGAAGCAUGCAUGGCCUGGACGAUAAGCCUCUUGAACUUUUUGGGGCUCCAAGGGUACCGAGUAUCAAAGAAAAAAGCCCAAGUAGUAAAACAGAAAGUAACUUAUCUGGGCUACGAAGUCAGUGCUAGACAACGUACCUUGGGCCAAAGCCGAAGGAGGCAAUAUGCCAGACCCCAAAACCUCAGACUGUAAAGGAACUACGAACUUUCCUGAGGAUGACAGGGUGGUGCAGGUUAUGGAUCUAUAACUAUGGACUGUUUGUUAAGCCCUUCUAUGAACUGAUUGCAACUGAAAGCAGGAACAUCCAAGAGACAAAGGAAGCUACGCAAGCUUUCAACCAGCUGAAAAAAGCCCUCAUGUCAGCUCCAGCCCUGAGAUUGCCGGACGUGAGUAAGCCUUUCCUUUUAUUCUCCCAUGAGAAGCAAGGAAUCGCCUUAGGAAUACUAGCACAGGACCUCGGCCCAUAUCGGAGAGCAGUGGCUUACUUCUCGAAGCAAUUGGAUACAGCAGCUAAAGGGUGGCCUGGGUGCCUCAGAGCUGUUGCAGCAGUCGUACUGAACAUCCAAGAGGCACACAAAUUCACCCUAGGCCAGAAAAGAACUGUGCUAGUGUCUCACACAGUGUCUGCAGUGCUAGAGGUAAAAGGUGGGCAUUGGCUUUCCCCACAACGGCUCCUGAGAUACCAAGCUAUCAUAGUGGAGCAAGAUGAUGUAGAGAUAGUAGUGACUAACAUUGUCAAUCCAGCCUCCUUCCUCAGUAGAAACCAAGGGGAACCAGUGGAACAUGACUGCCUGGAGACCAUUGAAGCCACCUACUCCAGCUGCCCUGACUCGAAGGACACCCCUCUGGAGAAUGCAGAAGUCUCGUUUACUGAUGGAAGCAGUUAUAUCAUCAGUGGAAAACGGCACGCCGGGUAGGCAGUUACAACGUGCAAGGAAGUAAUAUCAUCUGGGCCCCUGCCAACAAAUACCUCUGCACAGAAGGCCGAGAUAAUUGCUCUAACUCGGGCCCUAGAAUUGGCAAGAGGGAAAGAAAUAAACAUCUACACGGACUCGAAGUAUGCAUUUGGAGUAGUGCAUGCUCACAGAGCCAUUUAGAAAGAGAGAGGACUGCUGAACUCUCAAGGGAAAAAUAUUAAAGAUGCAUCAGAAGUACUGCGACUUCUAGAAGCAGUCCAGUUGCCAGAGAAAGUAGCGAUCAUGCACAUUAAGGCACAUCAGAAGAUAAACUCAGAAUUGGAAGAAGGAAACGAGCUGGCAGAUAGGGAAGCAAAAGAAGCAGCAAGAAUUGAGGUCAUAACUGAGGCAGCCCUGAUUCCAGACGGGCAAAUUUCCCCUAAAGGUAAGCCAAGAUACAACAAACUAGAAAAAAAAUUAAUCUAUGAGCAAAAAGGAGACUAUAACCAAGAGGGAUGGGCCACCAUAGAAGGAAAAUUAGUUCUACCCUCCUAUUUAUUAUGGUCCCUAAUAAAGGAAGAACACCAGAAAACCA